rnacentral:tRNA from 1 species
GGGCAGGUGGCGGAAUUGGCAGACGCGCUAGCCUUAGGAGCUGGUGGGAGAAAUCCCGUGGGAGUUCAACUCUCCCCCUGCCCACCA